rnacentral:rRNA from 1 species
UGAGGAAUAUUGGUCAAUGGGCGCUAGCCUGAACCAGCCAAGUAGCGUGAAGGAUGACUGCCCUAUGGGUUGUAAACUUCUUUUAUAUGGGAAUAAAGUGCAGUAUGUAUACUGCUUUGCAUGUACCUUAUGAAUAAGGAUCGGCUAACUCCGUCGCC